GCCCGGGUGGCGGAAUAGGUAUACGCGCUCGACUUAAAAUUGAGUGCCGCAAGGCAUGCGGGUUCGAUUCCCGCCCCGGGUA
rnacentral:tRNA from 1 species